rnacentral:rRNA from 1 species
AUUGAACGCUCGCGGGAUGCUUUACACAUGCAAGUCGAACGGCAGCGCGGACUUCGGUCUGGCGGCGAGUGGCGAACGGGUGAGUAAUGUAUCGGAACGUGCCCAGUAGCGGGGGAUAACUACGCGAAAGCGUAGCUAAUACCGCAUACGCCCUACGGGGGAAAGCCGGGGAUCGUAAGACCUUGCACUAUUUGAGCGGCCGAUAUCGGAUUAGCUAGUUGGUGAGGUAACGGCUAACCAAGGCGACGAUCCGUAGCUGGUUUGAGAGGACGACCAGCCACACUGGGACUGAGACACGGCCCAGACUCCUACGGGAGGCAGCAGUGGGGAAUUUUGGACAAUGGGGGCAACCCUGAUCCAGCCAUCCCGCGUGUGCGAUGAAGGCCUUCGGGUUGUAAAGCACUUUUGGCAGGAAAGAAACGUCGCGGGCUAAUACCCCGUGGAACUGACGGUACCUGCAGAAUAAGCACCGGCUAACUACGUG